rnacentral:lncRNA from 1 species
UUGAUUCUGACUUGUUUGGUUUCUCAAAAGUAGAAUUGAUUCUGCCUCCAGAAUUGAUUCUACUUGAAGCUAGAAAUCGUAGCUUCUGAUUAUAGAAUUGAUUUUUACACUCAAAUUUUUUGUUCAACUCACUUUUUCAUGAAUAUAUCCAAACAUAAACCACUUCAGCUUAAAAUCAAUUUUGUCCAGAAUCAAUUUUACAGAAUCAAUUAUGCCAAAAUCAAUUCUCU